rnacentral:rRNA from 1 species
GACGAACGCUGGCGGCGUGCUUAACACAUGCAAGUCGAACGGAAAGGCCCUGCUUGCAGGGUACUCGAGUGGCGAACGGGUGAGUAACACGUGGGUGAUCUGCCCUGCACUUCGGGAUAAGCCUGGGAAACUGGGUCUAAUACCGGAUAGGAGCCAUUUUUAGUGUGAUGGUUGGAAAGUUUUUUCGGUGUAGGAUGAGCUCGCGGCCUAUCAGCUUGUUGGUGGGGUAAUGGCCUACCAAGGCGGCGACGGGUAGCCGGCCUGAGAGGGUGGACGGCCACAUUGGGACUGAGAUACGGCCCAGACUCCUACGGGAAGCAGCAGUGGGGAAGAUUGCACAAUGGGCGCAAGCCUGAUGCAGCGACGCCGCGUGGGGGAUGACGGCCUUCGGGUUGUAAACUCCUUUCGCUAGGGACGAAGCUUUUUGUGACGGUACCUAGAUAAGAAGCACCGGCUAACUACGUG